ACUCCUACGGGAGGCAGCAGUGGGGAAUAUUGCACAAUGGGGGAAACCCUGAUGCAGCCAUGCCGCGUGUGUGAAGAAGGCCUUCGGGUUGUAAAGCACUUUCAGUAGGGAGGAAGGUAGUGUAGUUAACACCUGCAUUAUUUGACGUUACCUACAGAAGAAGCACGGCUAACUCCGUGCCAGCAGCCGCGGUAAUACGGAGGGUGCGAGCGUUAAUCGGAAUUACUGGGCGUAAAGCGCAUGCAGGCGGCCUGUUAAGUCAGAUGUGAAAGCCCGGGGCUUAACCUCGGAAUUGCAUUUGAAACUGGCAGGCUAGAGUCUUGUAGAGGGGGGUAGAAUUUCAGGUGUAGCGGUGAAAUGCGUAGAGAUCUGAAGGAAUACCAGUGGCGAAGGCGGCCCCCUGGACAAAAGACUGACGCUCAGAUGCG
rnacentral:rRNA from 1 species